CUGAGGGAGCUUCUGCUGCGAAAGUGAGGGCAGACCCCGAGUCCGGUCCCUGCUCCCCUCACGGUCCUCCGGUCCCGUCGCUGCCGCCUCCCGAGACCCGCUUUGCUACUUGAGGCUCUUACCGACUGCGCCGCAUCUGGCGAAGCCCCGCCGACUGCCCUCUGGUGAUGAAGGUAUUCACUUUGCUGUCCCUGUGAUGUGAGUCAUGUGAGGAUGAGGACCCAGAAGGGCAGGCGGCCAGGAGCUCCUGCCUAAGUCGCGCAGCUGUGAUCCCGGCAUUUGUAACUGAAAACAGCAUUUCUCCGUGUCCUUCUCAGUUUCAUCAGGAUGACAGGAACCGAGCACACAAGUUUUAGGCUUGACAUCUGCUUCCACUGGUUGGCCUUUAAGAAGUCAGUUUACAGUUGUUGGAGCUGGAGGAGCCAGGCUGGGGGCAAGACCAGGGGAUCCACCCUCCAUCUGACACUCCUGGAUCCUAUAUUGCAAGGCAAAGGCGCCAUGGGACUCUUCCUUUUGGUGCCACAGUGGGAGGCAAAGCCUCUCUGCGCUGUCAUUGCUGCCUGAACUGUCUCUCCAUUCAUGGAAGUUGGACAGAGACAAAAGCAAGAUUUUGAU